GGUGGCUCAGUGGUAGAGCGCUUGCCUAGCAUGCAUGAAGCCCUGGGUUUGAUUCCUCAGUACCA
rnacentral:tRNA from 1 species